rnacentral:rRNA from 1 species
CCUACGGGGGGCAGCAGUGGGGAAUAUUGGACAAUGGGGGCAACCCUGAUCCAGCCAUGCCGCGUGUGUGAAGAAGGCCCUCGGGUUGUAAAGCACUUUCAGUGAUGAAGAACGCCUGGUGGUUAAUACCCAUCAGGAAAGACAUCACUCACAGAAGAAGCACCGGCUAACUCCGUGCCAGCAGCCGCGGUAAUACGGAGGGUGCGAGCGUUAAUCGGAAUUACUGGGCGUAAAGCGCGCGUAGGUGGCUUGAUAAGCCGGUUGUGAAAGCCCCGGGCUCAACCUGGGAACGGCAUCCGGAACUGUCAAGCUAGAGUGCAGGAGAGGAAGGUAGAAUUCCCGGUGUAGCGGUGAAAUGCGUAGAGAUCGGGAGGAAUACCAGUGGCGAAGGCGGCCUUCUGGACUGACACUGACACUGAGGUGCGAAAGCGUGGGUAGCAAACAGGAUUAGAUACCCUGGUAGUC